rnacentral:rRNA from 1 species
AGAGUGAACGCUGGCGGCAGGCCUAACACAUGCAAGUCGAACGGCAGCACAGCCCCGCAAGGGGUGGGUGGCGAGUGGCGGACGGGUGAGGAAUACAUCGGAAUCUACCUUGUCGUGGGGGAUAACGUAGGGAAACUUACGCUAAUACCGCAUACGAAACUACGGUUGAAAGCGGCGGACCGCAAGGCGUCGCGCGAUUGGAUGAGCCGAUGUCCGAUUAGCUAGUUGGCGGGUAAAGCCCACAAGGCGACGAUCGGUAGCUGGUCUGAGAGGAUGAUCAGCCACACUGGAACUGAGACACGGUCCAGACUCCUACGGGAGGCAGCAGUGGGGAAUAUUGGACAAUGGGCGCAAGCCUGGAUCCAGCCGAUGCCGCGUGUGUGAAGAAGGCCUUCGGUUGUAAAGGCACUUUUUGUACCGGUAAAGAAAAGACACUGGGUUAAUACCCUGGUGUCUGACGGUACCGAAGAAUAAGCACGGCUAACUCGUGCCAGCAGCGCGUAAU